rnacentral:rRNA from 1 species
GACGAACGCUGGCGGCGUGCUUAACACAUGCAAGUCGAACGGAAAGGCCCUGCUUUUGUGGGGUGCUCGAGGGGCGAACGGGUGAGUAACACGUGAGUAACCUGCCCUUGACUUUGGGAUAACUUCAGGAAACUGGGGCUAUUACCGGAUAGGAUCUCCUGCUGCAUGGUGGGGGUUGGAAAGUUUCGGCGGUUGGGGAUGGACUCGCGGCUUAUCAGCUUGUUGGUUGGGUAGUGGAUUACCAAGGCUUUGACGGGUAGCCGGCCUGAGAGGGUGACCGGCCACAUUGGGACUGAGAUACGGCCCAGACUCCUACGGGAGGCAGCAGUGGGGAAUAGUGCACAAUGGGCGGAAGCCUGAUGCAGCAACGCCGCGUGCGGGAUGACGGCCUUCGGGUUGUAAACCGCUUUCGCCUGUGACGAAGCGUGAGUGACGGUAAUGGGUAAAGAAGCACCGGCUAACUACGUG